AUCCGUAGGUCAUGCUCUUCAGCAAUUUUUUCAAUCUCAUUGUACUCUGUAUAUUCUUCAUCAACAGAGUACAAUGAGAUUGAAAAAAUUGCUGAAGAGCAUAA
rnacentral:miRNA from 1 species